rnacentral:misc_RNA from 1 species
GAUGAAGAACGCAGCGAAAUGCGAUAAGUAAUGUGAAUUGCAGAAUUCAGUGAAUCAUCGAAUCUUUGAACGCACAUUGCGCCCGCCAGUAUUCUGGCGGGCAUGCCUGUUCGAGCGUCAUUUCAACCAUCAAGCCCCCGGCUUGUGUUGGGGACCUGCGGCUGCCGCAGGCCCUGAAAACCAGUGGCGGGCUCGCUAGUCACUCCGAGCGUAGUAAUACAUCUCGCUCAGGGCGUGCUGCGGGUUCCGGCCGUUAAAAAGCCUUAUUUACCCAAGGUUGACCUCGGAUCAGGUAGGAAGACCCGCUGAACUUAAGCAUAUCAAUAAGCAGAGGA